AGCGAACGCUGGCGGCAGGCUUAACACAUGCAAGUCGAGCGGGCACUUUGGGGUGUCAGCGGCGGACGGGUGAGUAACGCGUGGGAACGUGCCCUCUGGUUCGGAAUAACACAGGGAAAUUUGAGCUAAUACCGGAUACGCCUCUUUGGGGAAAGGCUUGCUGCCGGAGGAUCGGCCCGCGUCUGAUUAGCUAGUUGGUGAGGUAACGGCUCACCAAGGCGACGAUCAGUAGCUGGUCUGAGAGGAUGAUCAGCCACACUGGGACUGAGACACGGCCCAGACUCCUACGGGAGGCAGCAGUGGGGAAUAUUGGACAAUGGGCGCAAGCCUGACCCAGCCAUGCCGCGUGAGUGAUGAAGGCCUUAGGGUUGUAAAGCUCUUUUAUCCGGGACGAUAAUGACGGUACCGGAAGAAGAAGCCCCGGCUAACUUCGUG
rnacentral:rRNA from 1 species